CACCGGAACACUAAUUAAAGUCAGCAGUAGAAGCAGCAGCCGUGGUGGGGUCCUCCUCCUUCUCCUCACCCCUUCCACUGUGCAAAGUGAGAUUCAUGGGCCGCCCGUCCCUCGCACCGCACCACCGCUCACCGCGAGUGUUCGUGAGUUGGCGGGAUCCUAGACUGACUGCGGUGCGGCGUACGCUCAGGUUGUUGUAACGCAAGUACCCAGAGUUGUCUGCCGUGCGGGUCACACCUCGUCCUGCACAACGCCCACAAAAAUGAGUUCUCGGUUCAACACAACAAUGCACUCAAUCGAAUGAAGAGUAUUUAUUUUUGCGCUUGAACCAAGAACCUAGUUUCUUGGUGAAUUUUAUGAUUUUAUCGACAUACAUGCAUUUGGUUGAACCGUUGAACCUACUCACACACGGCUGUACCACACUAAAAAUUAUGCAUGCCGAAAUUCUGGUAUCAAACGACCCCAAAACCUGCACUCACAAAAAUGUUUUCUUGCCCCAAUCCCAAAAAUAUUCUUGACUCAAUUUUACUUGGGACGAGAAUAAUUUUCUCGAGUGAAGACGAUUUUUCUCGUUCGAAGAAGCAUGGUUUUCUUCCCACAAGAAGAAAAUAUUCUUGAUACAUUCUGCUCAGCCCAAGAAAAUAAUAUGCUUGUGCUUGUGCUAGGCCGGGCGGGCGUGGGUGGAGGGGGGACGGACGGAUUAGGGUGGAGCGCGCGAGAGGACCGGGCUACCUGAGGUACAAAGGCAGCGCUGGGGACACGGUCACGCAUGUGGAUUCAUAGCUCAAACGGUUACUGCUUACGCUUCAGCGCCGACUCGACACGAGCAGGGUUCGAAUCCCCGCAGUGCCAAUUGAAGGCGUGAGUUGCAUUAAGGAGAAUCGAACCAGCUGUCACUACCGUCAUAACCCACUGUGAGACAGAGUUCAAGACUGUCUCCGGGGGCACUAUUUCACUUAUUACAGCCAAGACUAAAUAUUCUUGGGAUAAGAAAAUAAUU